GGGUGCGAUCAUACCAGCACUAAUGCGCCGGAUCCCAUCAGAACUCC
rnacentral:rRNA from 1 species